rnacentral:lncRNA from 1 species
UAAAUUAAACUUUUAAUCAACUUUUAAAUUCCAAAACUUGAGGGCAAGUUUUGAAACAUUUCAAAACAUUAGGGUUUAGAAUUUAAAUAUUUCAAAAUCAAACCUUUUAAUCAAAAUUUAAAUUCCAAAACUUGAGGGCAAGUUUUGAAACUAUUCAAAACACAAGGAUCAAAUAGCAAAUAACUUAAAUUAAACAAUUAAUCUAAUUAUUAUCUAAUUUGACUUAAAAUCAAUUUCUUGCAAGAUAAGUUACCCAAUUAAUACAAAUAAUCAAACUUUAAUCAAAUAAGGAAGUUAUUAUCUAAUCAAUUGGUAAUUAUCUUUUGUUUAAUCAAGGAUACACUCAAAAUAUGAUUAAAAUUAGAAUUUUAAUGACCCAUAAUAGUUAAGGCAAGUAUCUUUGAGUAAAACAGCAAGAAAUCCCGAAACUGCCUCCUUCUGACGCUCGAACUCGCCGAGUAGGAGCCAACUCGCCGAGUUCAGCAGUCAGAAAGCCAAAAUUUCGAUGUUGCAACAAGAAUGAACAUGCAAGGCAUCAAUACAAUAGAAACCAAUCAAGGCUCUGAUACCACUGAUGGGUUUUAGCCAUAAGAACAUCCUAUGUGCUUAUACAAACCCUAAUGCUUAGAUCUAGGUUUCUCUAUUGUACAUGCAAUUCAUCCAAGACUUUAAACCCUAGAUCUAGCAUAUGAUAAUCAAUAUU